rnacentral:rRNA from 1 species
CAGUCGCCGCGGGAAUACAGAGGGUGCGAGCGUUAAUCGGAUUUACUGGGCGUAAAGCGUGCGUAGGCGGCUAAUUGAGUCGGAUGUGAAAUCCCCGAGCUUAACUUGGGAAUUGCAUUCGAUACUGGUUAGCUAGAGUGUGGGAGAGGAUGGUAGAAUUCCGGGUGUAGCGGUGAAAUGCGUAGAGAUCUGGAGGAAUACCGAUGGCGAAGGCAGCCAUCUGGCCUAACACUGACGCUGAGGUACGAAAGCAUGGGGAGCAAACAGGAUUAGAUACCCCUGUAGUCCCUGUCUCUUAUAC